ACCAUCGUGGUGUAACGGUAGCACACUCGGCUCGUAUUCGAGAGGUCCAGGUUCGAGUCCCGGUGAGGUA
rnacentral:tRNA from 1 species